rnacentral:rRNA from 1 species
GACGAACGCUGGCGGCGUGCUUAACACAUGCAAGUCGAACGGAGUGGCGAACGGGUGAGUAACACGUGGGUGAUCUCCCUUGCCCUUCGGGUUAAGCUUGGGAACCUUGGUUUAAUACCGGAUAGUGCAAGAUGAGCUCGCGGGCUAUCAGCUUGUUGGUGGGGUAAUGGCCUACCAAGGCGUCGACGGGUAGCCGGCCUGAGAGGGUGUACGGCCACAUUAGGACUGAGGUACGGACCAGACGGCUACGGGGGGCAGCAGUGGGGAAUAUUGCACAAUGGGCGGAAGCCUGAUGCAGCGACGCCGGGUGGGGGAUGAAGGCCUUCGGGUUGGAAACUCCUUUCGACAGGGACGCGGUACCUGUAUAAGAAGCACCGGCUAACUACGUGCCAGCAGCCGCGGUAAUAC